AACCAUAGAAACCUGCGGAGUACCUGCGGAGGGAUCAUUAAAAAGAGUGUGUACCCCCCUGUAAAAUGGGUGGGUUACCUCCCGUCCUUUGUUGACCUCUUAGGAGGUUAUUUUGAACUUUUCUGCUUCGGUGGGGUUAAACCUACCGGAACACCCUCAAAUUCUGAUCAUUUAAAAAUUGUUCAGUCCGAUUUUUGUUAAUAAAAACAAAAAACUUUUAGCAAUGGAUCUCAGAUCGGA
rnacentral:misc_RNA from 1 species